GAUAUUGGUCAAGGGGGGCAACCCUGAUCCAGCCAUGCCGCGUGAGUGAUGAAGACCGUAGUGUUGUAAAGCACCGCCUGUGGGGAAGAUAAUGAUGGUACCCACACAAGAAGCACCGGCUAACUGCGUGCCAGCAGCCGCGGUAAUACGAAGGGGGCUAGCGUUGUUCGGAUUUACUGGGCGUAAAGCGCACGUAGGCGGAUUGGACAGUUAGGGGUGAAAUCCCGGGGCUCAACUCCGGAACUGCCUUUAAUACUGCCAGUCUAGAGUCCGGAGGAGGUGAGUGGAACUCCUAGUGUAGAGGUGGAAUUCGUAGAUAUUAGGAAGAACACCAGUGGCGAAGGCGGCUCACUGGCUCGGUACUGACGCUGAGGUGCGAAAGCGUGGGGAGCAAAC
rnacentral:rRNA from 1 species